AGAUUGAACGCUGGCGGCAUGCCUUACACAUGCAAGUCGAACGGUAACGCGGGGCAACCUGGCGACGAGUGGCGAACGGGUGAGUAAUGCAUCGGAACGUGCCCAGUAGUGGGGGAUAGCUCGGCGAAAGCCGGAUUAAUACCGCAUACGACCUAAGGGUGAAAGCGGGGGACCGCAAGGCCUCGCGCUAUUGGAGCGGCCGAUGUCAGAUUAGGUUGUUGGUGGGGUAAAGGCCCACCAAGGCGACGAUCCGUAGCUGGUCUGAGAGGAUGAUCAGCCACACGUGGAACUGAGACACGGUCCAGACUCCGUACGGGAGCAGCAGGUAGGGAAUAUUGGACGAAUGGGCGCAAGCCUGAUCCAGCCAUGCCGCGUGUGUGAAG
rnacentral:rRNA from 1 species